UGAGUCUUGGAGACUAUGUGUCAUUAUAUGAUUAAUCCACUUAUUAAGUAAUUUUAAAUUUUAACCUUAGUUAGUUAGUAUGUGAUGGUAUGAUUAUGAGUGAGGUGUAGUUUAGUAUUUAAGGCCUAUAAGUAGAGGGUUUGAGCUCACCUCUUUCCUCAUUCACUUAAAAGAUAAGCUUUAGAUAAAACGCUCUCAUAAUCUCUCUCAAUCUUAUUGUGCUCUCUAAUCAAAGCUACCAUCAAUAUUUUCUAUUAACCUAUUUUGUUCCCUUAAAGCUAAACCAUCGGCACUCCAAUUAUUUCAUCUUUUCCCUUCUUCCAUAGCCAAUCACUUAUUCUCCAAGAGCCAAGGCAGAACAUCAACAUCCUCUUUUAUUAUGACCACCAUCAUCCUCUCAUAAAUAUAUAAAUAUAUAUCCUUCAUUAUUGGCAUCACAUCACCAUCAUUUUACGUUCAAGUUUUAGUGUUCAACUAGAUCUUAUUGGAAGCUAAGGUUGUUCAUAAAAUAAUUUUUAGUUCUCAAGGAUCACUUUUGCAAUCAAGCUAGGAUCUCCACAUUCGAGACCAAGGUAACUGAAAGUCUAGAAUGCCGGGGGCGAGUGGAACUUUGGACGCUUGUGUGUGUGUGAACUCGCUGAGGGCCAUAUAACUGCGGGCGGUCUAGGACACUCUAUUUAUUUAUUUAUUUACGCUUUUAAGUUUAUGUCACAAUUAUUUUAGUUAUUAUUUAUUAUGUCUUUUGUACGAAAACUGGCCAGUUGUGAACAUUUUCAAGUAUUAAAUAAAAAUGCGACAUUAUAAUUUUCCGCA